CUCAAGUAAGAAUUGGAGGAAGGGUGCCUCCAAGGAGACCAAGAAAGAUGGCGAAGUGAAAGAAAGGAAACAUUCUACAAGGGACAGAACUAAGAAGAAGAAAUGGUAUAAUAUCCACUUAAAAUUUGACAAGAGAAAGCAGCUAUGCUGAACAGGAUAAAGAAAUCUGCAACUUUUGGGCCUUACAAUUUACAAAUCAGCACGUAAUUUAUUGUAUAGGUUCGACAUUUGUGCAAGCAAACAACAUACUGCAUCAUAUUUUGUUUUGAUCAUAAUGUGAAAAGAUGGUUAAGAUAGAAAUUUGACCAUUUCUUCACCAUGACAAGGAUGAUAGCAACUCAUUAUUAUUGUGAAGUUCUCUUUCUUUUUCCUUCUUUCGGUCGUAUUUGUAAUUUAUUGUUUGUAUUCUCAACAAGUGCUCUUCUAAGACUCCCCGUUGACAAGCACUAUACAC